CAGAGACACUGCUUCUCUCAGUAGAGACUUGAAACUUCGAGGGAUGUUAGCGUUCACCCCGUCUACAACGUCACCAAGGCUACAGUGAUCAAAAUGAACAAAAUCGCUUCUAACCUUUAUAAUGUGUUUUUUUUUUUUUCUGAAUAUUUUAGUUGGUAUUCUGUCUCUAUAUGUUAAAAUAAACCCAUCAUAAAAAAUACAGACCCUUCAUUUCUUUACAUUUACAUUUAACAUUACAUUUAAUCAUUUAGCAGACGCUUUUAUCCAAAGCGACUUACAAAUGAGAACAAUAGAAACAAUCAGAUCAACAAGAGAACAACAACGGUAUACAAGUGCUAUGACAAGUCUCAGUUAGUCUAGAACGUCUAGUAGUCUAGUAAGUUUGCCCACUUUGUAAGUGGGCAUACUUAUAAAAUCAAAAGGGGGUCAAAUAAAUAUUUCCCCCACUGUAAGCAAUGUUGCUACUUUUUGGUUAGUUACUUCCCAACACUGUCACAACUUACAGGCCUUAAAGUUCUAAAAGAGGAAGUUGUUGAGUAUGAAAUGGGUCAUCGAAAAACAGCAUCAACAAAUAAGAAUCAAGCAAAAGAGGAAGUAAAAUUUUUUCGAUUCCAGCUCUUACUUUACUCAAAAAGACUUUUCUUCCAGUUAAAUUUGGAAUUGUGACAGACAAUGAAAAGAAAUCCUUUGGGAUAAGGUUGUUACAUGGUGAACGCUACAAUGCUUUGAACUUACGUCACACAGAAUCAAGCCACAGACGGAGGGUGUGAGGGAUUGAGAUAAACAUGUUUGUAAUGGUAUAUAAUAAUAUCCACUUUGGGCUUUUUUCCUCUUCCUCACUAUUUAUUUCUAUGCAUGUACCGCGGGAAGUUCUCCUUAGCAAGCGGCGAUUAUUUCAGCUCCCCCUCCCUCUGUCUUUUCUCUUUGUUGUCAUGCCGUCAGUACUUAAAACGUUCCAGUGUUGAUGUAUUACUUGUUGGAACAACGUUGAAUGGGCCUUUCCCUUUAAAUGGCCACUAACCUUUCAUUUACAUCUUAGCCUUGAACCAUUUUAUGCUAUUUAAUGAUAUCUAGAGAGCAUUUUAUCGGACAAAAUUUUUACACGCCUAACCCUAAUUAGUGCAAGAUGAGUCACCAAUAUUAUUUGAAUCUGUUAAUUUAAGUUAAUUUAAGUGCUCUAGCAUAUAUACGAUCUCAGUGCUAACAGAUAUGGAAUAAAAGCAAAACAAAUAAAUAAAUAAAUAAAUAAAGUUUUGUGGUAGCACUUUACAAUAAGGUUCCAUUUGUUAACAUUAGUUGACAUGAGCCCAACAUUUGGACCCGCCCACAAAUGCAAGUCAUCAAUAUUUUUGCCUUUUAUUUAUUUAGAAAUCUUUAUUAUUUGAUUAGAAAUCAACAAU
ensembl:lncRNA